ACGGAAGGCAGCAGUGGGGAAUAUUGCACAAUGGGGGAAACCCUGAUGCAGCGACGCCGCGUGAGUGAAGAAGUAUUUCGGUAUGUAAAGCUCUAUCAGCAGGGAAGAUAAUGACGGUACCUGACUAAGGAGCACCGGCCAAAUACGUGCCAGCAGCCGCGGUAAUACGUAUGGUGCAAGCGUUAUCCGGAUUUACUGGGUGUAAAGGGAGCGCAGGCGGUACGGCAAGUCUGAUGUGAAAGCCCGGGGCUCAACCCCGGUACUGCAUUGGAAACUGUCGAACUAGAGUGUCGGAGGGGUAAGUGGAAUUCCUAGUGUAGCGGUGAAAUGCGUAGAUAUUAGGAGGAACACCAGUGGCGAAGGCGGCUUACUGGACGGUAACUGACGUUGAGGCUCGAAAGCGUGGGGAGCAAACAGGAUUAGAUACCCUGGUA
rnacentral:rRNA from 1 species